AAGAUUAGCAGUCUUUUAAAUAAUACAUGAAAAGGGGAUUUUCAUGAAAUGACUACAUUUUUAAAGUUCAAAGUUGUAAUUUUGGUCUGUUUUCAGAUUUUGGGAGAGAAUGUUGCCAGCAAAGACAGGGCGGGUGCAACUGCCACUUCAGAUCCUGAAGAUGAUGGAGAUGGAGACAUUUCUACAAUGGACCCUGAGCCAGUAGUGGUCCUUCGUGGAUCACAUAAGAUGUUUACAUCGUUCAUUAGCUUUUCUGGUAAAGCCUCAGAUGGUAGAUAUGGGGACUCAAACCGAAAGGUUUGAGCAUUGCAGAUCAACUCCUCUGGCCAGUCCUGAACAAAGUAAUGAUGAAUGGUCAUUUUCUGAUAUAUCAUCAACCAUUCUGGGGAUAUGUCAUGGAGUCCAGGGGAGGAGAUGUUGAGUGAGUCGUCUGAGGAUGAACCAGAAGAGCUGGAAUCUCUCAGUGACCCGAAUGCUGUUGACAAGUUCAUUGUUUGCCAGAGGCAGUUGCUGUCCUUGUUCACGGUUUGCCCUGCAUGCUGUGGGGAAACCCAUGGACACAUAAUGCACCCGGAAGGAACCUUCAUAAAAGUUAAGCAGGCCUGCGGAACUUGUGGUUAUGAGCGUUACUGGCAAAACCAAGAAAAGGUGCAUCGAAACAUGCCUGCCUGCAACCUUUUACUCAGCGGUGCCAUCCACUUCUCAGGUUGCAUGGCUACUCAGACCAUCAGGAUGCUAAAGCUGUUUGGACUGCAGUGCAUAAGUCCCGGCACUUUUUUCCGCCAUCAGCGCUAUUACACUAUCCCUACUAUCGUGCAGGCCUGGAGGAAUGAGCAGAGGGGGAUCAUCAGGAAGUUGAAGGAGACUGGAGAUCAGAUUCUCCUGGACACUGUGCCAAAUAUGGUAGCUACUCCUUGAUUGAGGAUCGAAUUAACAAAGUUUUGGAUGUUCAACUUGUCCAAAGCUCAGAAGUCCCAAGCAGCUCUUGGUGUGAGCUAGAGGGUCUAAAGCGGAGUAUGCAGUUCCUGAUGGACCAAGACAUGCAAGUGUCUGCUCUGAUAACAGACAGAAAUCGGCAGGUGGCCAAGUGGGUACGUGAGAAAAUGUGUUCAGAAGGAACAACGCAUUUCUUUGACGUCUGGCAUAUUGGGAAAAGUGUACAGAAAGCACUGGAUGCUGCUGCAAAAGAGAGGGACUGUGAGGAUCUGAAGCUGUGGAGGCCAGCCAUUAUCAACCAUCUCUACUGGACCGCUGCUUCCACCCCUACAGGAGAUCCAGAUGAGAUGCAGGCAAAAUGGCAGAGUAUGAUAAAUCAUGUACAGGACAUACAUGAACACAGCACUCCUGCAUUUACCAGCUGCGCACAUCCACCGUUGGAAGGAGAGGCAAGAAACAAGGAGUGGCUUGAACCAGACUUCUCUUGGCAGCCCUACAUUACAAUCGUAAUGGCAACAGAGAUGUAGCUUAAACCAGUGAGGGUGAGGCACACUAUGCCGUUCGCUACCCGCGGUUUCGGAAAGGUGGCUGGGUAGUCCACCCCAUCAAGGAGAAACCAUCUUACAGAUACGCAACAAAACUUAUGGUCUCUCUGGUAGAGGAAUACUCCAAGUCACCACAGGCCCUACAAGAAAGCAGUGCUGUCUUGUCCUCUGCUGC